rnacentral:tRNA from 1 species
GCUCUUAUGGUGUAAUGGUUAGCACUCUGGACUUUGAAUCCAGCGAUCCGGGCUCAAAUCCCGGUAGGAGCU